UGCUUCGAGCGAAGCAUCUGUGGCGAAAGCUUUUUGAGUCUCUACAUCUUGUAACUCGGUUCUUCAUCUCUGCUGUUCUCAAAGCAAACAUAUAUCUGAGCUACCAAAGAACACAGUUGCAACUCAGCUUUUUCUUCUCUCAGGUAUUUGAUUUCUCUCUCUCCGAGGAAGACAUGAAAGCCCUUGAUGGCCUCAACAAAAACCAGUCAUACCUUAAAGAUGGAUUAACCGAUCACCAUCCCCUAUUUCAACAGCCAGAUAACUGAAGAAUUAUUCACCACUUGUGAUUAUGCUGGCAUUCCAGAGACCCACCAGUUGCAUCUAGCCUUAUUUUCUGCUUUGUAACCUGUGGUUUGUGCAACAGAAGUGUGCUUCCCUCUGUGCAGUGAUCCUUCCUGAAUCAUGAGCUGCAGGUUUCCUCCCUUCCUGCUGACCUCACCAAUCCUGUACCCACCAUCUCAAUCAGAUGUGCACGUCUUCCCGAAUGCCGAAAUAAAAGCUAUCCCUUUGCUGGGUGCUUGAGCCUUUAUUGUGAACCAUGAAAGUGGAAUUGAAAUAAAUAUGAUUUUUGUUGCCGA